rnacentral:rRNA from 1 species
UACAGGGGGGGCAAGCGUUGUUCGGAAUUCCUGGGCGUAAAGGGCUCGUAGGCGGCCAACUAAGUCACACGUGAAAUCCCCAGGCUUAACCUGGGAACUGCGUGUGAUACUGGAUGGCUUGAAUUCGGGAGAGGGAUGCAGAAUUCCAGGUGUAGCGGUGAAAUGCGUAGAUAUCUGGAGGAAUACCGGUGGCGAAGGCGGCAUCCUGGACCGACAUUGACGCUGAGGAGCGAAAGCUAGGGGAGCAAACGGG